rnacentral:rRNA from 1 species
GACGAACGCUGGCGGCGUGCCUAAUACAUGCAAGUCGAACGCAGAGGGGACGGGUGAGUGACACGUGGGUAACCUCCCAUCAGAGGGGAUAACACUUGGAAACAGGUGCUAAACCGAUACUGAUGGAUGGACCCGCUGUGCAUUAGCUAGUUGGGCGGGUAACGGCUCACCAAGGCCACGAUGCAUACCCGACCGGAGAGGGGGAUCGGCCACACGGGAACGGAGACGCGGCCCAGACUCCUACGGGAGGCAGCAGUAGGGAAUGUUCGGCAAUGGAGGAAAGUCUGACCGAGCAACGCCGCGUGAGUGAAGAAGGUUUUGGGAUCGUAAAACUCUGUUGUUAGAGAAGCGGUAGUUAACCAGAAAGCCACGGCUAACUACGUGCCAGCAGCCGCGGUAAUAC